UUGUUUCCUACACUACGUGUUUUUCCUUUUCUUCCAGAACUCCCUGUUUUCAGCUAGGUAUAUGCCUAGUCAGAGCAAAUACCUUUCCCAGCAUUCUUUGCAGCUCAAUGUGGCCAUGGGACCAAGUUCAGCCAAUGGGGAAGUGUGACAGCCCCUGGAACUUUCCUUGAAAGAAUACUCCAUUUGUCCUUCUUUCUCCCCCUAAGCAUCCUGCUUCUUCAAUUGUAGAAAUGACUGCUAGGAUUCCUACCACCAUCUCGGACCACGAGGUCAAGGGCCACACUCCAGGGCAGCAAGCAGUGAGCUAGAAAGAACCCAAGUUUUCAGUUCCUGAGAUUGCAUGGAACAGUCUGACUACAUGGAACAGAGCUGCUAGAGCAUCCUCGACCACCACUGAAGUGAGCAAGUGAGGUUCUUGUCUCAUGGAGUCGAAGAAUGAAUCUCGUGGACACAGACUCAGCCAAGGACCCUAUGAGGGUCGAAGAAAACUUUUUCCUACCUACAACAGCACAGUUGGUGGAAACUCAUAACAUUUUGUCCUCGCCACCCUGAAUAGCUGCGUGUCCCAUAUGCCAGCUUCCAAUCUCAAGGGCUACCUGCAUGUCCUAGUAGACUCAAGUUUCUACCCAGGUGUAGGGAUGACUCCAUGCCCACAUGUUUCAGCACAACUCAGACGGGUUUGAGUUUUCUUUCUACUCUUUGCAACCCUAUCUCUGUCCAUCUAAGUAAGGAAAUAAAUUGCCUUUUCCUGAAAA